rnacentral:tRNA from 1 species
UGGGGUAUCGCCAAGCGGUAAGGCUCCAGACUCUGAAUCUGGCAUUCGAAGGUUCGAAUCCUUCUACCUCAGCCA